UUAGAUCUUGCAAGAAAGGCUUCGUCGGAGAUUCCAAUUUUAUGCCCGCCAGGGAACUCGGGGUCGCCUCUCUCUUCGUUUGAGCCGCCGCUACCGCCUUCUUUGCCGCCCUUAACGCCUCCGGCAUCCACAGUGUCUACACUCCGAGGAUUGCGCCUUAUGCGAGGAAUUUGAUGUGGUUCGUGAGCAAUGGGCUAAGUUUUUUACCAGCAAGUAUUUAUUAUUGGCUUUAGCGCGCUUGAUCGAGUUGGUUUAGUUGUUAUAGAAUAAAUUUUAUAUUAAAAUGUAUGUUUAUGUUGAAAUUGGAACAUAUAUUUAAAUGUAAUAUGUGCACUUUGGUUUUGGGAUAUAUAGUACACAAAACUCCAGUUGUUGUUUUUA